rnacentral:rRNA from 1 species
CUACGGGUUGCAGCAGUCGGGAAUAUUGCGCAAUGGAGGAAACUCUGACGCAGUGACGCCGCGUAUAGGAAGAAGGUUUUCGGAUUGUAAACUAUUGUCGUUAGGGAAGAUAAAAGACAGUACCUAAGGAGGAAGCUCCGGCUAACUACGUGCCAGCAGCCGCGGUAAUACGUAGGGAGCAAGCGUUAUCCGGAUUUAUUGGGUGUAAAGGGUGCGUAGACGGGAAGGCAAGUUAGUUGUGAAAUCCCUCGGCUUAACUGAGGAACUGCAACUAAAACUAUUUUUCUUGAGUGUUGGAGAGGAAAGUGGAAUUCCUAGUGUAGCGGUGAAAUGCGUAGAUAUUAGGAGGAACACCGGUGGCGAAGGCGACUUUCUGGACAAUAACUGACGUUGAGGCACGAAAGUGUGGGGAGCAAACAGGAUUAGAUACCCCAGUAGUC